AAAUACUCUUUAGAACUCGGCUAAUCGUCUCUGUAGUCUUUGAAAAUGGUCGCAGUGAGAGAGGGAAGCGUUUCUAAUUAUUAGGCAGAGGGGGAAGUAGUGCAGUGAAGAAGCGAGUAUUCCCAAAAUAGACCGCCACUCUCAGUCCAGCGGAACGUGCCGUCAGCCUCAUCACAGCAACAGCCAUUUCGAGUCGAGGCAGGUUGGCGGGCGGGGAGCGAGCACUGCUAAACACCCGCAACACUUUUUGACCACGUGAUCCCUCCAAGCACAUGGUCCUGAGCAGCUGUUGUCACGGGAGUACGGCGGAAAGAGUGCGAUCAUUCAUUAUACACAACUUUGACUCCAAGUACCCAGCCAGUGUUUGAUCGUCACUUUUCUGUAUAGCUACGUCUGAAUUCAAGUUAAAUCUUCGCCUGUAUUCAGAAACGCCUUCCCCUCUCACUACGACUAUUUUCAAAGGCCACAGAGACAAUUAGCCAGGUUUCUAAGACAGUUUCUCCUUAUAAUAAACUAGAAAUCUUGCCAAUCUAUCUAUAGAACCAUAAAAACACUCAUAAAAACACGAGUAUCUUCAUCUGGAAAACAGUGAUGGUGAGAGAGCAGUGUUUCAUAAUACGGGCUCUUAUCAUAUACAGAACGCUUUUUUAAUUAUUUUUUGUUACGUAUUUAUUUUAAUUUAUAAUACGCUAUGGUACUUGAUCGUGAGAUAACUGCGACUUUCAUCUUGCGCCGAGGUGAAGGGGUUGUUGACGCCUGCUUGGUUGCGAGACUCGUGUCCUUCAUCCGCCGAGGCCGAGGACACUUUAGGGACACCAUCCACUCGUAAUGGAGACUGUGAGGAGCCUACUUGAUCAUUCACACACAUGCUCAUACACACGAUCAAGUUCAAGCUGGCCUCGAGUGACGAACGAGGGGCCACCAAGGACCAAGACAGCACCGAGUACAAUCUUAGCGUUGUAUCACCCAGCAUCUUUUGCCUUGUUUUCUUUAUAACUGUUGCUGGCGUUCGGUUACUAGCAAUACACGCAUCUCCCCUCUUAUUAUUUGUAUUGCACCUAUCCUUAUGUGAUACUGCUUAAUGUGCAUCGCUAAUGAUACUUUGAUCCUUUGUUUCUUGUAUGUCAAACUAAACUGAUAUGAAAUAAAGUAUAUACACAAA